AAAAUUUUGAGAAAUCUUCUGGACGUUCUGAUUCGGAAUGCUUGGAGAAUAAUUGCUAUGGGUUUGCAUUUUCUUUUCUUCCAAGUCCAUGUUUAGGGAGAAGAUUUGUUAUUGGUUGUGGGAUAUUGGGAGUUUGGGAUGAGAAAUGGGGAAGCUGAGUCCCAGUAUUGCAAAAACAAAAAUAGGUGGCAUAGGUGGUGUGUUUUUAUUAAUAUUAGUUACUUGAAUCUCAUUGAUUGACAAUAUUUAUCCGGUAUUUAUUAUCCUAUUGUUGAUUCUAAGUAACUAGUCAUGUCUUGAUGAUCCUGCUACAGGUGAACAAUGUCAUACACAACUGUAUAGAUAAGUUGGACGUCAUUUGUUCUCUAGCUUUAGCCCAAACUUUGCAGCAAGUUUUGCAGGAUUUAGAGAGAGUGAGCAACUUGGGAUCAAGAAAAUGUCAGACUCAUAGUAGACUGCAUAACUGUGCAUCUACAUUCAGCUAGGUUGCUUUAUUAGAAGCUGCAAUAUCUGUAGAAUUCUUGGGUAAAUGGUCAUUAU
rnacentral:misc_RNA from 1 species